UGGGGAAUCUUAGACAAUGGGCGAAAGCCUGAUCUAGCCAUGCCGCGUGAGUGAUGAAGGCCCUAGGGUCGUAAAGCUCUUUCGCUGGGGAAGAUAAUGACUGUACCCAGUAAAGAAACCCCGGCUAACUCCGUGCCAGCAGCCGCGGUAAUACGGAGGGGGUUAGCGUUGUUCGGAAUUACUGGGCGUAAAGCGCGCGUAGGCGGAUUAUUAAGUUAGAGGUGAAAUCCCGGGGCUCAACCCCGGAACUGCCUUUAAUACUGGUAGUCUUGAGUUCGAGAGAGGUGAGUGGAAUUCCGAGUGUAGAGGUGAAAUUCGUAGAUAUUCGGAGGAACACCAGUGGCGAAGGCGGCUCACUGGCUCGAUACUGACGCUGAGGUGCGAAAGUGUGGGGAGCAAACAGGAUUAGAUACCCCCGUAGUCC
rnacentral:rRNA from 1 species